UUCCCUUUCCAUCCAUCCAUAUGAUACCUCUCACUAGCUUCUCCAGUGUCAUGAAAUGACUGUUUACUGAAAAGUUCCUCAGCUUGAGUAUCUAGACGACUCAUCAAACUUGUGUUCUUGGGAGUUCCAUUCAUUAGGUGUACAGCUACUAUGUUAUAUUCUUCAUGCUUACCCGUUUUUACAAUGUUUGAACCUAUGACUGGAUCAAAAUCAUCCAGGCCUCUGUUAUCUCCAAACUUACUACAGUCCGAUUGAACAAGUGGAUUAGAAACCCUAGAAUAAGAAGUCGAAGAAGGAUCAACUUCUCCUGGAGUAGCAAACUUGGAAUCCGAAUUGUGAUGGGGCUCCAUUAUUUCAACAUCUUUUG
rnacentral:misc_RNA from 1 species